rnacentral:rRNA from 1 species
AAUCCAUAGGUUAAUGAGGCGAACCGGGGGAACUGAAACAUCUAAGUACCCCGAGGAAAAGAAAUCAACCGAGAUUCCCCCAGUAGCGGCGAGCGAACGGGGAGGAGCCCAGAGCCUGAAUCAGCAUGUGUGUUAGUGGAAGCGUCUGGAAAGGCGCGCGAUACAGGGUGACAGCCCCGUACACAAAAGCGCAUAUGCUGUGAGCUCGAUGAGUAGGGCGGGACACGUGGUAUCCUGUCUGAAUAUGGGGGGACCAUCCUCCAAGGCUAAAUACUCCUGACUGACCGAUAGUGAACCAGUACCGUGAGGGAAAGGCGAAAAGAACCCCGGCGAGGGGAGUGAAAAAGAACCUGAAACCGU